AUUGAGCGCUGGCGGCAGGCUUAACACAUGCAAGUCGAGCGGGGUGAUGGUGCUUGCACUAUCACUUAGCGGCGGACGGGUGAGUAAUGCUUAGGAAUCUGCCUAUUAGUGGGGGACAACAUCUCGAAAGGGAUGCUAAUACCGCAUACGUCCUACGGGAGAAAGCAGGGGAUCACUUGUGACCUUGCGCUAAUAGGUGAGCCUAAGUCGGAUUAGCUAGUUGGUGGGGUAAAGGCCUACCAAGGCGACGAUCUGUAGCGGGUCUGAGAGGAUGAUCCGCCACACUGGGACUGAGACACGGCCCAGACUCCUACGGGAGGCAGCAGUGGGGAAUAUUGGACAAUGGGGGGAACCCUGAUCCAGCCAUGCCGCGUGUGUGAAGAAGGCCUUAUGGUUGUAAAGCACUUUAAGCGAGGAGGAGGCUCUUUUGGUUAAUACCCAAGAUGAGUGGACGUUACUCGCAGAAUAAGCACCGGCUAACUCUGUGCCAGCCGCCGCGGUAA
rnacentral:rRNA from 1 species